UUAAGCAAAAAAGAGCACAGGGCGGAUGCCCUGGCACUGGGAGCCGAUGAAAGACGCGACAAGCUGCGAAAAGCUGCGGGGAGCGGCAGAUACGCUAAGAUCCGCAGGUGUCUGAAUGGGGAAACCCACGCAGGGAAAGCCUGCGUAUCCGUACCUGAAUCCAUAGGGUGCGGAGGGGAACCCGGCGAACUGAAACAUCUAAGUAGCCGGAGGAAAAGAAAACAAAAGUGAUUUCCAGAGUAGCGGCGAGCGGAAUGGAAAGAGCCCAAACCGGAGUGCGAGCACACCGGGGUUAGGACUGCAGAAAUGACCUGCAACUGCAGCGGAACGGUCCUGGAAAGACCGGCCGUAGAGGGUGAGAGCCCCGUAAGCGAAGCGGGAGCAGGCAUGGCAGGAUCCAGAGUACUGCGAGACACGAGAAACCUUGCAGGAAUGAGCGGGGACCACCCCGUAAGGCUAAAUACUACCCAGUGACCGAUAGAGCAGAGUACUGUGAAGGAAAGGUGAAAAGGACCCCGGGAGGGGAGUGAAAGAGAACCUGAAACCCUGUGUUUACAAGCUGUGGAAGCACCGCAAGAGUGCGACCGCGUACUUUUUGUAGAACGGUCCGGCGAGCUGCGGGGGCCGGCGAGGUUAAGCCACCAGGUGACGGAGCCGUAGUGAAAGCGAGCGUAAAUAGCGCGCCAUAGUCGGUUCCCGCAAGCCCGAAACCGGGUGAUCUAUCCAUGUCCAGGCUGAAGCCGCUGUAAAAGGCGGUGGAGGGCCGCACCCACAUCCGUUGAAAAGGGUGGGGAUGAGGUGUGGAUAGGGGAGAAAUUCCAAUCGAACCCGGAGAUAGCUGGUUCUCCCCGAAACAGCUUUAGGGCUGGCCCCGUAUAUGCCUUGUGGAGGUAGAGCACUGAAUUUCCUAGGGGGCGUCAAAGCCUACCGAAGAAUAUCAAACUCCGAAUGCCAUGAAGGAAGAGUACGGGAGUCAGACCGCACGAGAUAAGUCGGGCGGUCAAAAGGGAAAGAGCCCAGACCCGCGGCUAAGGCCCCAGAGUGCGUGUUAAGUGGAAAAGGAUGUGGGAUUUCAAAGACAGCUAGGAUGUUGGCUCAGAAGCAGCCACACAUUCAAAGAGUGCGUAAUAGCUCACUAGCCGAGAGGUCCUGCGCCGAAAAUGUCCGGGGCUGAAACACGCCGCCGAAGCCCGGGAAUGUACAAUAAUGUACAUUGGUAGGGGAGCAUUGCCGGCGCACGGAAGCCGUACCGUAAGGGGCGGUGGAGCGCCGGGAAGAGAGAAUGCCGGAAUGAGUAGCGAGAUGGAGGUGGGAAUCCUCCAGGCCGAAUAUCCAAGGAUUCCGGGGUAAAGCUGAUCUGCCCCGGGUAAGUCGGGACCUAAGGCGAGGCCGGAAGGCGUAGCCGAUGGACAACAGGUGGAGAUUCCUGUACUGCGCCAUGACAGAACUGUGGGGACGCAUGUGGAAAGAGGCAGCCGGGAAAGGGAAGACCGGUACAAGCGCAGGAGGAGGCGUGCAGGAAAAGCCGCACGCCGAUCCAAUGGCGUGACGUGGAGCGGAAAGAAGUAGCGAAGGCCGCGGACCAUGUGCCAGGAAAAGCCGCUAUCGUUCAUGGGGCACCCGUACCGUAAACCGACACAGGUGGAUGGGGAGAGGAUCCCAAGGCCGGCGGGAGAAGCAUUGCCAAGGAACUCGGCAAAAUGGCCCCGUAACUUCGGGAGAAGGGGCGCCUGCGUGAAAGCAGGCCGCAGAGAAAAGGCUCAAGCAACUGUUUAGCAAAAACACAGGUCUAUGCAAAACCGGAAGGUGAAGUAUAUGGGCUGACGCCUGCCCGGUGCUGGAAGGUUAAGAGGAGGGGUCAGGAAACGAAGCCCUGAAUCCAAGCCCCAGUAAACGGCGGCCGUAACUAUAACGGUCCUAAGGUAGCGAAAUUCCUUGUCGGGUAAGUUCCGACCCGCACGAAAGGCGUAAUGAUUUGAGCACUGUCUCGGCAAUGCACCCGGUGAAAUUGAAGUGCCAGUGAAGAUGCUGGCUACCCGCGCCAGGACGGAAAGACCCCAUGGAGCUUUACUCCAGCUUGAUACUGGGAUCCGGUGCUGUAUGUACAGGAUAGGUGGGAGGCAAGGAAGUGAGGACGCCAGUCCUCAUGGAGCCGCCGUUGGGAUACCACCCCUGCAGUACUGGGUUUCUAACCUGCGCCAGUGAACCUGGCGGGGGACAAUGUCUGGCGGGGAGUUUGACUGGGGCGGUCGCCUCCGAAAGGGUAUCGGAGGCGCUCAAAGGUCCCCUCAGAAUGGACGGAAACCAUUCGAAGAGUGCAAAGGCAUAAGGGGGCCUGACUGCGACACCGACGGGUGGGGCAGGCGGGAAACCGGGACUUAGUGAUCCGGUGGUAUUAAGUGGGAAUGCCAUCGCUCAACGGAUAAAAGCUACCCUGGGGAUAACAGGCUGAUCACUCCCAAGAGUUCACAUCGACGGAGUGGUUUGGCACCUCGAUGUCGGCUCAUCGCAUCCUGGGGCUGAAGCAGGUCCCAAGGGUUGGGCUGUUCGCCCAUUAAAGCGGUACGCGAGCUGGGUUCAGAACGUCGUGAGACAGUUCGGUCCCUAUCCGGCGCGGGCGUAGGAUAUCUGAGAGGAGCGGUCCCUAGUACGAGAGGACCGGGACGGACGGGCCGCUGGUGUACCUGUUGGAAACCAGUUCCACGGCAGGGUAGCCAAGCCCGGAGGGGAUAAACGCUGAAGGCAUCUAAGCGUGAAGCCCCCCUCAAGAUGAGAUAUCCGUGUCGCAGGACGGAAGGUCCCUUGAAGACCACGAGGUAGAUAGGCCUGGGGUGUAAGCACAGCAAUGUGUUCAGCUGACAGGUACUAAUAGACCGUAAGCUUAA
rnacentral:rRNA from 1 species